CCUACGGGAGGCAGCAGUGGGGAAUAUUGCACAAUGGGGGAAACCCUGAUGCAGCGACGCCGCGUGAGUGAAGAAGUAUUUCGGUACGUAAAGCUCUAUCAGCAGGGAAGAAAAUGACGGUACCUGACUAAGAAGCCCCGGCUAACUACGUGCCAGCCGCCGCGGUAAUACGUAGGGGGCAAGCGUUAUCCGGAUUUACUGGGUGUAAAGGGAGCGUAGACGGCAGCGCAAGUCUGGAGUGAAAUCCCAUGGCUUAACCAUGGAACUGCUUUGGAAACUGUGCAGCUAGAGUGCAGGAGAGGUAAGCGGAAUUCCUAGGGUAGCGGUGAAAUGCGUAGAUAUUAGGAGGAACACCAGGGGCGAAGGCGGCUUACUGGACUGUAACUGACGUUGAGGCUCGAAAGCGUGGGGAGCAAACAGGAUUAGAUACCCGAGUAGUC
rnacentral:rRNA from 1 species